UACGUAGGGGGCAAGCGUUAUCCGGAUUUACUGGGUGUAAAGGGAGCGUAGACGGCUGUGCAAGUCUGAAGUGGAAGCCCAGGGCUCAACCCUGGGACUGCUUUGGAAACUGUGGAGCUAGAGUGCUGGAGAGGUAAGUGGAAUUCCUAGUGUAGCGGUGAAAUGCGUAGAUAUUAGGAGGAACACCAGUGGCGAAGGCGGCUUACUGGACAGUAACUGACGUUGAGGCUCGAAAGCGUGGGGAGCAAACAGG
rnacentral:rRNA from 1 species